GUGCCAGCCGCCGCGGUAAUACGUAGGGGGCAAGCGUUGUCCGGAAUCAUUGGGCGUAAAGAGCGUGUAGGCGGCCCGAUAAGUCCGCCGUGAAAGCCCAGGGCUCAACCCUGGGAUGCCGGUGGAUACUGUCGGGCUAGAAUCCGGAAGAGGCGAGUGGAAUUCCUGGUGUAGCGGUGAAAUGCGCAGAUAUCAGGAGGAACACCGAUGGCGAAGGCAGCUCGCUGGGACGGUAUUGACGCUGAGACGCGAAAGCGUGGGGAGCAAACAGGAUUAGAUACCCUUGUAGUCC
rnacentral:rRNA from 1 species